rnacentral:rRNA from 1 species
UACGAAGGGGGCGAGCGUUGUUCGGAUUUACUGGGCGUAAAGGGCGCGCAGGCGGCUCAUUUUGUCAGGCGUGAAAGCCCCGGGCUUAACCUGGGAACUGCGCUUGAGACGGGUGGGCUAGAGAUCGGGAGAGGAGAGUGGAAUUCCAGGUGUAGCGGUGAAAUGCGUAGAGAUCUGGAGGAAUACCGAUGGCGAAGGCAGCCUUCUGGCCAAAUACUGACGCUGAGGUGCGAAAGCAUGGGGAGCAAACAGG